rnacentral:tRNA from 1 species
CGGGGCGUGGCUCAGUUUGGCUAGAGCACCUGAAUGGGGUUCAGGGGGUCGCUGGUUCGAGUCCAGUCGCCCCGACCA